UAUCUCUCCGUACGGGGAAGGAUGAGAAGCUUCGACCAAGGUUCGAUUCGAGUGCAGCGAGAAAGCGUUGCCGCAGGCAACGACCCGAAGGGCGAAGCGCGCAGCGCUGAGUCAUCCUUCCCCCACCACCA
rnacentral:sRNA from 2 species